CGAAAGUCAUGUUGAACAAGAUCUUUCUGGUGAUAGUGUUGGUGACUUUCAACUUUCAAAUUUUGAGUCUAUUUUUAAUGACACUGAAGACUCCAAGUUUGAUCGACAUAUAGCUGCUCAAAUUGAGAUGGAAGAUGCUAAGAACCUGUUCAAGGAUGGUUGGAAUACAAAGAAUGAUGCUUUGAAUCAAGAUCAAAG